ensembl:lncRNA
CUCACACCUUAAUAUUCUAAAGAACAGAACAUUCAGUAUAAAAGCUUUGUUUAAAUCCACCACAAAAUCCCCAAAGCCAGCUAACCUCAGAGAACGAAAUAAGACAAAACAUUACAAUUUCCACUACAUUUUUUGGAAAACAAUCAUGAGAGCUUUUCUCACCCAGGUCAGGCUUCACACUACAGUGUAUGUACUUUGCCAUCACCUUGUAGGCUGAGAAAAUAAAUACUUUAGGAUUGGACUGGGUGAUCCUGUGGCUCUUUUCCAGCCUUGGUGAUCCUAUGAUUGUGAAGCAGGGCAAGAAGGCAAAAUUCUCCUGCAAGGCUGCAUAUGUACCAUCAUUGUCCUCUGCUCUAUAGCACAUCCAACCUGAUCACUUUGCUGAUUAUUUGAUGCUUUACUUUCUUCUUUCUAUGUAGGGAGGUGGGUACAGAAAAAAAGUCUGCUGUUCAGCUGGACCAGGAAGAGAAGUGGAGAAGUUUUCAGUGGCAUUUUCAGAAGUGUUUCACAGCCAGGAGUGUUACAGGAGUGGAAGACCUUGUGCUUUUGAUAAGUCUGUGCCACAGUGGAAUUCUGGCAUCCCUUAGAUGAGACGCCCAUGAGCCCUGAGGAAUCACAUUGCCUUGCAGCCACUGUACAGCCAUGAAAACCAGCUGAAAACAAAACCGAGCCUCUUCGGAGAAAGCCCCACAAGUGACCUCUUCAGCAAAGUGGACAAAGAUUUACAUUGGCUUCUCUUCUCCCCGGCUAUCACUUACACUACAUGCACACUGUUGUUCCUCCUGCCUGUGCCAUUGUACUUCCCUUCUAACCUGUUUUCAACCUGCAAAGGCUUUUGCAAGGAAGUCAGCACACAGCAAUGGUGGAUAGAGACGUUCCUGCUCAGCACUGGAACUUCUGGAGAUGAUAAACACAAGCAACUCAUCCCCAGCUCCAUCCUGAGCACCUUCAGCAUUGCCACUCAGCACCUCAAAAUUGUGUGCGUCCAAUGCCAACUGUCCACCAUGGCAAAGGAACAAGACAUUUGCUCCAAGGGACUGCUGCUCCAUGACGAGCUCGAGAAAGAGACCGUCUGAUGGUCCCUGUGUUGCUGAGGGCUCAGCUGUCCCCCUGCCCUCCUGGACCCAUCCCGAUAGCUGUGCUCCAGAGACUGAGAACAGGGCUGGGACAGAACAGCGAGGCCCAGGCUUGGUUAUUUGACCUGUACUAUGUGAUUUUAGCCCAGAAUGGAGCUGAGAUACAGAGCCGGCCCCCAGGAGGCAGAGCUAGGAUGAAGCAGCAAAGGUGCUGAUGGACUCAGGGCUCCCAUGUGCCCCUAGAGAUGCGGCUGAGGAAUCCCAGGAUACCCAACCUGAUCCCUGCAGCAGUGCCACCUUUUUUUUUAACAAUCUCCCUUAACAGCAGAAAUUCAAC